rnacentral:rRNA from 1 species
CAGUAGCCACGGUAAUACGUAGGGCGCGAGCGUUGUCCGGAAUCAUUGGGCGUAAAGCGCGUGUAGGCGGCUGAGUAAGUCUGCUGUGAAAGUCCAGGGCUCAACCCUGGAAUGUCGGCAGAUACUGCUUAGCUAGAGUACGGGAGGGGCGAGUGGAAUUCCUGGUGUAGCGGUGGAAUGCGCAGAUAUCAGGAGGAACACCUAUGGCGAAGGCAGCUCGCUGGUACGUUACUGACGCUGAAACGCGAAAGCGUGGGGAGCAAACAGGAUUAGAUACCCGCGUAGUCCCUGUCUCUUAUAC